rnacentral:miRNA from 1 species
GACAAUCCCAUCGACCGGAAGGAAUUCCUUCUGAUCAAUGAGGUUCUUAGACCUCAUUGAUCAGAAGGAAUUCCUUCCAGUCAAUGAGGUUGUU